UGCACCUGCAUUAAAUAAGUGCCUUAAAAUAGUGAUAUAUAUUUUUAACUAGAUUUAUGUCUCAUUUAGUGCUUAGGGAUUGCCUCACUACUCAAUUAUGUGCUUACAGAAGAAAUUUUUCAUAGGAUGCAUUACAAAAAGCUCUUGGACUCUGUAUAGAAGAUAAUAGUAAGGUAGUUAAAGACCAAAGGAGAAGCUGCAGAGGCAGUGAAGUGCAGUAAUGGGAGAGCUUGUCAGGACUCCUUCUCAUGUCCAGAUUUUGAGACAUUUCACUUGGAAUUUGUUUGAUAUUCUCCAAGCCUGACAACGUCGUCUCUGUUUUGGUGUUGCCUGUCUCUGAGUGCUGCUGCUGAGCCCAGGGAGGAUGACUUUUCUGGCAUCUUGAACUAAACUGAGAGGAGGCUUCCUUCUGCCACUUUCUUCAGAAGAUGCAUCAAUCCAUGCUGUCCUUAAUCCUUUCUAUAGAUGAUGAUAUUUAAAAUCUUCAAGUAUUUGCAUAAACAAUUGUCAAGGAUGUAGAGGAGGUACUGCUUUAAAAGGGAGAUGGUUAUAUUGGUCUGACUCCUACAAAGGCUCCUGAGGCAGGAAGAAAUCCUACUGCAGUGUGAUAUGAUAGAGCACUGAGCAUUUACAAGCUGGUCUCUGCAUCUUCAGCGCUGAGGCCCCAGCACAGCACCAUUGCCUUAAGUUCUGCUGCAGCUGGAGACUGAGCUGAUUUAUCUGCACGCCAAGCACUUGGCACUCUGCUGUUUCCAGCUCCUUGCAGAGGUGGACGGUGAAAAGGAGGAAGCAAAGAAGGCGCUGGGAGGUGUGGUGGGGAGCUGGGCAGAGAUUUCACUUGGCGUCUGGGAACUGACUGCUGAAAUUUACACCUAAGCAUUAAUGUCAUCAGUUCUGAACUAUGCUGGAACUUUAUUCUGGUGUCAUCGCUUUGUGAGGUGAUGACACCAGAUUUAUUUGGAACAAGUAAAAUAGUAUUUGAUUCUUAAUACUCUGUGAUGAUUACUAUGAAAACUAGAAUACUUCUAUGAUAAAUUCACAAGCUUAGCCAAUUAGAAUCAUGUAACUCAGCUUUUUUGGCAUAUUUUUAUGAUUUGUUGCACAUUAAUGUAAUCUACUUAAGUGUAUAAUUCAGUAAUAAUCUUAAAUUACUCUUUGGCUAAACAAGAGGGAAUCUAAUAAAGCUAUAAAGAGUUUUGAUAUGAUUAAUACUUAUUCAGCUGUCCUUGUAACUGCUUUUUAUACUAUACUUAUUCAUAAAGUGCUCCAUUCUUAUGUAAGUGUCAUUUUGCUCGUUGCGUGAGGCUGCAGGUUUUUGGUCAGUGGUAGCAUUACCUUGAAAUGUGGAUGAAUGGCCCAUUUUGCUCAAAUGCACUGUGUUUUUUUCUUCUGCAAGUUCCAUGGAACGCAUCUCUGUGCAUCCCCAGCCUGCUGCCAAGGUGAUGCCAGGCAGCUCAGGGUUCUCACGUGAAUGUUAUGUGUUGUGAAAUAUUCUAAUGCUCUUUGUUCUUCUCUUUAAUUAACUUCUCUUGUACCAGAAGUUAUUUGUUCCACUGAAAUACAUGGGAAUGUGCUAGGCUGGCACUUCUGAA